rnacentral:rRNA from 1 species
UACGGGGGGGGCAAGCGUUGUUCGGAAUUACUGGGCGUAAAGGGCUCGUAGGCGGCCAACUAAGUCAGACGUGAAAUCCCUCGGCUUAACCGAGGAACUGCCCUCCAAACUGCUUUGCUUGAGGCCGGGAGAGGUGAGUGGAAUUCCCAGUGUAGCGGUGAAAUGCGCAGAUAUCAGGAGGAACACCGGUGGCGAAGGCGGGUCUCUGGGCCGAUACUGACGCUGAGGAGCGAAAGCGUGGGGAGCGAACAGG